rnacentral:rRNA from 1 species
CGCGUAGGCGGUCAUUUAAGUUGCAUGUAAAAUACCAGGGCUCAACCUUGGGGGUCAUGCAAAACUGGGUGACUUGAGAGCAGUAGAGGGAAGUGGAAUUCCUGGUGUAGCGGUAAAAUGCGUAGAGAUCAGGAGGAACACCGGUGGCGAAGGCGACUUUCUGGGCUGCCACUGACGCUGAGGCGCGAAAGCGUGGGGAGCGAACA